AAAUCAAAGCUGGGAAUUCCUGUGGUACCAGGUUCUUGAGGUCUGAGACGAGAUCAUUUGAGCCUGGGAAUCUGAGGCCAGCCUUUAUCUCCAAACAAAACAGAGAAGAGGCUAAGGGGGUGGUUCAGUGGGUAAAGGACUUGCUGCAGAAGCCUGAGGAGCACCCACAUAAAAUAGCCAUAUGGGCAUGAUGUUCCAGCUGUAAUCCCAGCGCUUCGGAGGUGUCAGAUGGUGGGGAGAAAAUCUUUAAGGCAAGCUGGCUGUCAAGGUCAGGGUCAGUGAGAGCCUUGCCUCACUGAAGUAAAAAGUGAUUAGCCUCUGACGUAUAUACAUAGACACACACAAAUACACAGACACAUUGCACACAUGGUACAUAUAUGCCCCUCUCACUUCCCAAAAAUGGAAGAAGGGUGAGUUAAAUUGGCAGCUGAGGGGGCUAGAAAGAUCGCUCAGAGGUUAAGGACACUGGCUGCACUUAUAAAUUCCUGAGUUCAAUUCCCGGCAACCACAUGGUGACUCACAACCGUCUCAACCAUCUGUAAUGAGAUCUGGUGCCCUCUGCAGGGACAUAUGCAGGCAGAACACUGUAUACUUAAUAAAUAAAUAAAUCUUUUAAAAAAUGGCAGCUGAUAUGGACUGCUCAGUGAGAGGGUGAGUGGGUGGAGAGCUUCCUGCUGACUUGUUGGGGAUGGUGGCCUCUACUUUCCUAUUGCCAGCCUUCACCAACCCUCCCUCCUUGAAGACAUCCAUAGCCUCUCUGGCAGGCCUCCACCACAAGGGACUUGACCCUCAAUGGUAGCCAUUACUCACAGAGGCCUCACAGCAGAUGGAGAAAGCUUUGCACUGUCUGACUUCACCUUCACAGCCUCCUGUCUUACACGCUUAAACCAUGUUCAGCCUUAUACUGCAUCUCACACUGCAGGGGUGUGCAAAUGUGUGCUGCUAUUCCUCACUCCUAGGCCUUCUUUCGUGGUGUGCGCUCCCUCUCAUGGCCUAGCAGUCAGUCUGUUUACUCACUAGCGAACUUUUGUGUUUUCUAGCGAACUUUUGUGUUUUCUGUGCCAUGCAAGUAGCUCUGCUGACUUCAGAUUACAUCAUCUGCAUAGUAAGCACUUAAGUGAAUGUCGAUGGAGCAAACCGCUGAAAACUACAGUAGUUUCCUCAAGUUCCUGUGCUGUGGAAUACAUUGCUGUCAUUCACACACUGCCUUUGCCUCUUCCCUGGCUUUCCUAUUUUAAAUCAUCCAUGACCUGCAUCAGGGUUAUCAUCUGCUAGUAUCUCAGUAACAGUAGCGAGAUUGAUCGCUACAGGACCUGGAAAUCACAUGAGGAAAGAACACCUUCUUGACUGGCUUGUGGAUAUUUCUGUUCUGUGCUGCUUUCUCUCUUGGGAAAGCAGUGUUCAAACCCAUCCAGGUGCACAGAUAGAGCAGUGCUCAGCAGUGUUCACACCCGUCCAGGUGCACAGGUAGAGCAGUGCUCAGCAGUGUUCACACCCAUCCAGGUGCACAGGUAGAGCAGUGCACAGCAGUGUUCACACCCAUCCAGGUGCACAGGUAGAGCAGUGCUAGUACCUGAGCAAAUGCAGACCCCAUGGUGCAUGACUCAUGGAGACUUACCAAGGAGCCAGUGUUCUAGCCCUUCUGCCAGCACCUGAACUUAAGGCUCAGUCUUUUUAGUCUGACUUUGAUGAGAAUUAAGCUCCCAGUCUAUCCCCAAGCUGUUUUUAAUUCUAAUUAAGUGGCUAACAUUGUCAAGUAUUUUUUAUAUAACAAAACCCAUUAUUUUAAAACUAAUUGGAUGUUGGUGCACACA